GAUGAACGCUGGCGGCGUGCCUAAUACAUGCAAGUCGAGCGAAUGGAUUAAGAGCUUGCUCUUAUGAAGUUAGCGGCGGACGGGUGAGUAACACGUGGGUAACCUGCCCAUAAGACUGGGAUAACUCCGGGAAACCGGGGCUAAUACCGGAUAACAUUUUGAACCGCAUGGUUCGAAAUAGAAAGGCGGCUUCGGCUGUCACUUAUGGAUGGACCCGCGUCGCAUUAGCUAGUUGGUGAGGUAACGGCUCACCAAGGCAACGAUGCGUAGCCGACCUGAGAGGGUGAUCGGCCACACUGGGACUGAGACACGGCCCAGACUCCUACGGGAGGCAGCAAUAGGGAAUCUUCCGCAAUGGACGAAAGUCUGACGGAGCAACGCCGCGUGAGUGAUGAAGGCUUUCGGGUCGUAAAACUCUGUUGUUAGGGAAGAACAAGUGCUAGUUGAAUAAGCUGGCACCUUGACGGUACCUAACCAGAAAGCCACGGCUAACUACGUGCCAGCCGCCGCCGUAA
rnacentral:rRNA from 1 species